GAUGUGACAUCCCUCAUUACAGCCAUUCCACAUGAUGCCACUUGCUUCACUGUCAUUGAUUUAAGUAAUGCAUUUUUUUCUAUACCUAUUGAUCAAGAGACACAGCUACUUAUGGCUUUUACUUUUGAAGGCUGUCAGUAUACCUGGACACGUUUACCCCAAGGCUAUGUGGAUUCCCCAGCUGUUUAUUCGCUGGUACUCCAACAUACUCUAAAAACAUGGACCCCCGGUCAUGGUUCCGUCCUUUUGCAAUAUGUUGAUGAUUUGUUGUUAUGUAGCCCUAGCUAUGAGGCAAGCACUGUGGAUACUGUCAGUUUGCUCAGACACUUAGCAACUGUGGGUCACAAGGUUGCAAAACACAAAAUGCAAUUGUGUAAAUCAAAGGUUGAUUACUUAGGUUUUGUUCUGGCUUCAGGCACCAGACAAUUGAGUCCAAAACGUAUUGAGGUCAUUCAGAGGAUUCCUAAACCCACUACUCGGAAGGAGUUGCUCACCUUCCUCGGCAUGAUUAAUUACUGCCGCCAAUGGAUCCCUGAAUGCUCUCAUUAUGACUCAAUCCUAAGGGAGGCUGUACGUUCUGACAGCCCUGAAAAUGUCUGCUGGUCACCAGACAUGUUAGCUGCGUAUAUAGCCCUCAAAGUUGCUAUUGUGCAAGCCCCGGCUUUAGGACUACCUGUGUAUUGUAAACCAUUUCAUUUGUAUGCUCGGGACAACUGUAAAACCAUGGCCGCGGUCUGUGCACAAGAGCACGGAGGCGGUAUGCGUCCCAUAGCAUUCUUUUCCAAAAUAUUUCCAGCUACGGUACAGGGUAUGCCGGCGUGUCUCAGAGCAUUG